CACUGUUUGUGAUAUGGUGUAUGACCUGGUCAAUCUUAGGCUCUGAAGCUCUCCCUGGUGGAAAUUUAUUUGGAUUGUUAAUUAUUUUUUAUAGUGCCAUUAUUGGGGGAAAAAUUUUACAACUCAUUAGAAUACCUUUAGUGCCUCCACUUCCACCUCUUCUUGGGAUGUUACUGGCUGGAUUUACAGUUAGGAAUGUUCCAUUCAUCAGUGAACAUGUCCAUGUUCCUAACGCAUGGUCUUCAAUUUUAAGAAGCAUUGCCCUUAACAUUAUUCUAAUACAAGCUGGGCUUGGACUCGAUCCACAGGCUUUGAGACAUUUGAAGGUGGUUUGUUUCAGAUUGGCUGUAGGUCCAUGCCUCAUGGAGGCAAGUGCUGCUGCUGUUUUUUCCCACUUCAUUAUGAAAUUUCCCUGGCAAUGGGCAAUUCUAUUAGGACAGAAUUGCCAAUACACAACACCGUUCACUUGACUUUGAAAAUGAAAAAGAGAAAAAGGGGGAGAAAGAGCAGAAUUGCUUUUGAAGUAGUACUUUAUUAUAGUACUUUUGAAGUUGCUUUUGAAGUACUACUUUAAUAUAAUUGAAUGUAUCAAAAUCUCUUUUUAUGUCUAAUGCCUUUGUAUGUAUCAAAAUCUCUUUUUAUGUCUAAUGCCUUUGUAUGUAUCAUUCAAAAGGUCCUUUUU